GGAAAGAGAAGUGUUGCAAGGUGUUUGGGAUUUAGAAAUCAUAGCACGAAGAAAACGUUUUUGGAGAAGCGAUGCACUGUGGAGUUGCAGUACCUCAACAGAAGCCAUUGCUCAACUGCUGUGUGAUUCCCAUAUCCCUGCACAUAAAUGCGCAUUCACAGAUGCUGACACAAUCACACCUCCUGCUUCUACACCCAUCCCCCUCCCAAGCUCCCUCCAUCAGUUUGGACAGCGUUACAGUUUGGCGGCGUCCUCGCCACGUCUGGUGCUGAUUUCCAGGCCACAGUGCCGAGGCUUGCCAGUAGGUGGGGGGUUGCAGGAUGAGCUGUGGAGGAGCUCCAAAGAUCGCAUGAACAUCACCACAGUGCUGACAAAGAGAAGGGGACUCGGAGCCGUUGGGAGGCUCUGUGAUGCUCUCAUCUGACUGUGUGGCACGCCGCAGUGAGGAACACAGAUGACAGUGAUGCACUGGUUUCUGCUUCCUCACGUGCUCACGUUAAACUGUUUAUUUCAACACGACAUGCAUUUCAAUUCGGAGGUGUGACUGAUCUGACUGUAACACUACUAGAAAUGUAAUUAAUGUUAUUCAUUGGCCAACAAUUUUGAUAAAUGAUUAAUUAUUUAGGUUAUUUAUUAGUAAAACUGUCAGAUAUUUGCUGAUUAUAGCUUCUUUAAUGUGAAGAUUUGCUGCUUUUCUCUGUUCAGUAUCAUUGUAAAUUAGAAAAUGUAUUUCUGGCUGUUGGUUUCAUGGUUGAACAAAUCAAAUUCAUUUUACAUAAAUUAACAUAAACAUUCACAAUGGCCGUGUUUUAUUAAAGCAUGCC